GAAUUAGUAAUCUUAAUUGGUAAAGUGUUUCCUUGUCGAGGAAAAGGAUGCCGGGUCGAAGCCGGCCUAAUUCG
rfam:Exophiala dermatitidis NIH/TT8656 mitochondrion, whole genome shotgun sequence.